rnacentral:misc_RNA from 1 species
AACGCACGAGACCUGCGGACCUGCGGAAGGAUCAUUACCGAGUUCGUGCCCCGCAGCGGGGUAGAUCUCCCACCCUUGUGUAUCUUCGUACCGUUCUGUUGCUUUGGCAGGCCGCUCAGGCUUCGGCUCGACCACCGGCUCCCCCAGGGGGGCGGGUGUGCGCCUGCCAGAGGACCCCCCAACUCUUGUUUGUCAGUGUCGUCUGAGUACUAUAACCAAUCGUUAAAACUUUUAACAAUG